rnacentral:lncRNA from 1 species
AAAGAAAAUUAACUGUUUACCUGUUUUACAGGUUUUAGUUUUUUUCUUGCAACUAAACAGUUUUGCAGAAUAUUUGCAUUGUUUCAAAAACAUUAUACUUUGACACCAUCUUAGAUUGAAGUUACUUGGAUUUUCUCCAUGUUUUUAGAUUUUGUUGUGACUCACAGAGGUAGUGGUUAAACUCCUCUUCUCCUGGCACGACCUCCCCACUUCAAGCAUGUUUUUUUUAUGGAAGAAUAUAAAUUUGUGAACUCAUGAGUUUAUAUUCAGUCAGCAAGAUGGACCACUAAACUUGAGAACACUACAGAAAAUACAAUAGACAUGAAAGCCUGAAGAGCAUAAUGGGGAGACGGAAAGUUUUAAAAUAAUCAGCAAAUUGAAAGCCAAGCGGUCUCACUUUCAUCACAGGAUAUUCGAAAAUCUGGCAU